rnacentral:tRNA from 1 species
GGCGCUAUAGCCAAGUGGUUACGGCGACAGAUUCGAAUGAGCUCGAAGAGCCCUUAACGUCUUAUCUGUUCCUCUUUGAGGGCGCAGGUUCAAAUCCUGCUGGCGUCG